GUGGGGAAUAUUGCGCAAUGGGCGAAAGCCUGACGCAGCGACGCCGCGUGAGGGAUGAAGGUUUUCGGAUCGUAAACCUCUGUCAGAAGGGAAGAAACUACAUUGUGCUAAUCAGCAGUGUACUGACGGUACCUUCAAAGGAAGCACCGGCUAACUCCGUGCCAGCAGCCGCGGUAAUACGGAGGGUGCAAGCGUUAACCGGUAUUAUUGUGCGUAAUGCGCACGUAGGCUGUAGUGUAAGUCCGGGGUGAAAUCCCACGGCUCAACCGUGGAACUGCCUUUGAUACUGCACAACUUGAAUCCGGGAGAGAGUGGCGGAAUUCCAGGUGUAGGAGUGAAAUCUGUAGAGAUCAGGAAGAAUACCAAUGGCGAAGGCAAGCUCCUGGCCGAUGACUGACGCUGAGGUGCGAAAGUGUGGGGAUCAAACAGGAUUAGAUACCCUGGUAGUCC
rnacentral:rRNA from 1 species